rnacentral:rRNA from 1 species
AACGAACGCUGGCGGCGUGCCUAACACAUGCAAGUCGAGCGAGAAAGCCCGCAAGGGUGAGUAAAGCGGCGCACGGGUGCGUAACACGUGGGUAAUCUGCCCUAGAGUCCGGAAUAACUCGCCGAAAGGCGUGCUAAUGCCGGAUGAGACCACGGGAGCCUCGGCUCCUGCGGGAAAAGGUGGCCUCUGUAUACAAGCUAUCGCUCUAGGAGGAGCCCGGGGCCCAUCAGCUAGUUGGCGGGGUAAUGGCCCACCAAGGCUACGACGGGUAGCUGGUCUGAGAGGACGAUCAGCCACACUGGAACUGAGACACGGUCCAGACUCCUACGGGAGGCAGCAGUGGGGAAUCUUGCGCAAUGGGCGAAAGCCUGACGCAGCAACGCCGCGUGUGUGAUGAAGGUCUUCGGAUCGUAAAGCACUGUCGCGAGGGACGAAUAAGGGGCGGGCUAACACUCCGUUCCGAUGACGGUACCUCGAGAGGAAGCACCGGCUAACUCUGUGCCAGCAGCCGCCGUAACAC